GUUGAGUCGGGUCCGGUGGGUGGGGUAAGACGGAGGGGGGUAGAGUUGUACGGAAUCACUGGGCGUAAAGGUCGCGUAGGCGGCUCAUGAAGUGGCUGUGGAAAGCCCGGGGCUCAACUCCGGGGCUGCCGGUCAGACGGGUGGGCGUGAGCACGGUAGAGGCGGAUGGAAUUCCCGGUGUAGCGGUGGAAUGCGUAGAGAUCGGGAAGAAUACCGGUGGCGAAGGCGUUCCGCUGGGCCGUUGCUGACGCUGAGGCGCGACAGCGUGGGGAGCAAACAGAAUUAGAUACCCGGGUAGUC
rnacentral:rRNA from 1 species